CCUACGGGGGGUGCAGUGGGGAAUAUUGCACAAUGGGCGCAAGCCUGAUGCAGCCAUGCCGCGUGUGUGAAGAAGGCCUUCGGGUUGUAAAGCACUUUCAGCGGGGAGGAAGGCGGUGAGGUUAAUAACCUCAUCGAUUGACGUUACCCGCAGAAGAAGCACCGGCUAACUCCGUGCCAGCAGCCGCGUGUAAUACGGAGGGUGCAAGCGUUAAUCGGAAUUACUGGGCGUAAAGCGCACGCAGGCGGUCUGUCAAGUCGGAUGUGAAAUCCCCGGGCUUAACCUGGGAACUGCAUUCGAAACUGGCAGGCUAGAGUCUUGUAGAGGGGGGUAGAAUUCCAGGUGUAGCGGUGAAAUGCGGAGAGAUCUGGAGGAAUACCGGUGGCGAAGGCGGCCCCCUGGACAAAGACUGACGCUCAGGUGCGAAAGCGUGGGGAGCAAACAGGAUUAGAUACCCGAGUAGUC
rnacentral:rRNA from 1 species